rnacentral:lncRNA from 1 species
ACUUUCACAUAUACCCACGUGUGGUCAGCUGAAAAAUGACUCCUCGAAAGAUAUUCAUAUCAAACUCCUGGCAGCUAUGAAUGUGACUUUAUUUGGAAAAAGGGUCUUUGCAGGUGUAAUUAAAUGAAGGAUGUUGAGAUAAGGUGAUUAUUUGGGAUUGCUCAGGUUGGCCCUAAUUCGAAUGAUGAAUGUCUUUAUGAGAGAACGGCAGAGGGAGAUUUGAGACAGAUAGGAGUGAAAACACAGAGAGGAGGAGGAGGCAACGUGACCAUGGAAUAAGACAUUGGAGUGAAGUAGCCACAAGCCAAGGAAUGCCUAAAGCCACCAAAAGCUGGAAGACGCAGGAAAGGAGCCUCCUGGAGAGAUUUCUGAGGGAGCACAGCCCCACCGAUGCCAUGAUUUCAGCCUUCUGGUUCCCAGAAUUGUGAAAGAGUAAAUUUCUGUUGUUUCAAGUGGCCAAGUUGGUGGUAAUUUGCUACUGAAACCCCAGGAAGCUUUGUGCCUGGAUACUAGCAGGAAGGAAGAGGAGGAGCAAGAAUGGAAGGCUUGUACCAACAAGUUCUUAUCCUUUUUAAUGAGGAAAACAAGAGCAUCCCUAUUCUGCUCUUAUCUCACCGAGUUCCAUGGCCAUUCUGAGCUGCAGUGGAGUCUUGGGAGGACAUUUGGCUGGAUUCAAAGAACUUUGAAGCCCAAGGGGAUGGAGGAACCACGGGAUGGAAGGUGCCUGAAUCCUGAAUGACUGUGUGGACAGUUUAUAAACAUUUGGGCAGUGCCAUCUCUAUCACAUAAAUUUAUUUUGUCUUCUUUUAUUUCUUCUUACCUUCCCAUGAUUUUCCUGGGUGAAUGGCUAAUUAGAAGAGUAAGAUGAGGUAGAGGGUGGAAUAGAGAGAUUGUAAAUUCUGCUUUGGGGAUAUUAAUCUGAGUUGUGUGUGAGAUGUUCAAGUGAAGAUGUCAAGCAAAAAUUUAGAUAUUUGCACCCCAGUGUGGUGGCUCACACCUGUAAUACCAGUACUUUGAGAGGCUGAGGCGGGUGGAUCACUAGAGGUCAGGAGUUGGACACCAUCCUGACAAACAUGUUGAAACCCUGUCUCCACUAAAAAUACAAAAAUUAGCCGGGCGUGGUUAUGGGUGCCUGUAAUCCCAGCUACUUGGGAGGCUGAGGCAGGAGAAUCGCUUGAACCUAGGAGGCAGAGGUUGCAGUGAGCCAAGAUCAUGCCAUUGCACUCCAGCCUGGGCAAUAAGAGCAAAACUUGUCUCAAAAAAAAUUUAGAUAUUUGCCUAUGGAUUUCAGAGGAGAAAUGCGGCAAGAGCAAAAGUUUCAGAGUCAAUAACCUAAUACUUGCAUUUAGCUCCAAAAGAAUUGUUGAAAUUAUAUAGGGAAAGAGGGUAGAGAAUAAAGAAGUGCCUGAAGUUGAGACUUAAGAUUCCUCAACAUUUAGAGUUUGAGUAGGAAUGGAGUUCAAGAAAGAGCAGAAGGAAAAGUAGAAGGGAUAUCAGGAGAGCAUGAGGUCAGAGAAGCCAAGAGAGAAAUAUUGUGCAAGAUGGAAGAUGUGGCCACCAUUAUGAGUUCUACUGACUGGUAAAGUAACCGUGGGAGCCAUCAGUGGCCUUGACAAGAGACAUUUCCUGGGAUGAUGGUUGGAACCUAGACUAGAGCAGAUUGAGGAGACAACCAGUAGUAAGGCUACAGAGAAAAGGGAACACUUACACACUGUUGG